ACAGAACAAGAGGCUUUGAAGAUGGAUCAGUUUCUGCCUCAGCAAAAUAGUAAAAGAGAGACUUGUGUUUCUUGUCAUCAACUGUGACAUAUCCUGAGAACUGUUGAAAGCUUACGUGGGGUUGGCCGGGAAGCAAAGCAAUUGUGUCUGCAUGAGAAGGGAGACAAAACACUUCCAAUGAAAAACUCAGGUGAAGCAACACCGCAGCUAGUGCCAUGGUGGUGUUGGACUUGGACUUCCAUGUUGGCCACUUCAUGGUUUCACAAAAUGGGGAGAGGAGGACUAACAAAGAGAAAGAGUGAAAGGAUGCUGUAUUUAAAGUGUUUACCUAGUGAGAACAUGAAUCUCAACAUGAGAAAGAAACGCCAGCCUGAAAAAUGGUGAUGAAAGAGAUGUGACAGAGGCAAUGACCACGGUGUGCCGGGUCUUUCUAUACGCAGUGGCAAAAAGAUAAUUAUGAAAAAGGGUUGGGAAUGGUUUUUAUGCUGAGUCAGCUCAAGUUUUUCUGCCAGGAAUAUGGGCUCUGCCUUGAACAAAAAAUUACAGUCUUUAAAUGAUCUUAUUUAUAUUUUGUUUCUGUUUUUUUUUUUUUUGUUUUUUUCUCUCUCGAUGGAUUAACAACAAAGACCUUGCAUCUGUAUCCAUUUUGCACUUGGGAAAAAAACAAAGAAAUUUUGUAUCCUUUUGACUGCAUGCACAGUAAUGUGUCCCUUCAAUGGAAAAUGGCUUUACAAAGGAUACUUUUCAUGCCUUAGAAA